GUAUAAUCUUCUUUUCUAAUCAAUAAAAAAGUUAAUUAUUGCUCAAAACAAAAAAGAAAGUUUAAGUACCAUGCAAAUUUAUUCAUUACAUUUUGUUUUUCUUCUUCUUCUGAUUUUUGGCUAGUAGCUUGUGAUUAUUGUGGUGGUAAUACAGAUGGCAAAAAUGGGUAUUAUGCUGUUGGUGGUGGUAAUAGUUCUAACAUUUAAACGAAAGGCAUUGAGGUAGUUCUUCUCUUCUCUUCUCUUCCUUUGUGUAGCAAAAUCGUACUUGAAAUUUGAGCUAUUCAUAGGGUUGUUACCCAAACAACAAUAAUAGGGAAGGUAAUUCUAAUAUUCAAAAUUGAAGGGGUGUUAUGCAAAAUUCACAUAAACAUUAAGGGAAGUUUCUAAAAUCAUCACUUAAAAAAUUUUGAAGCACACUAUUGCAUUUGAGAAGUUAUGUUUUUGGAAAUAUGAAAACAGAUUCAGCCAAUAACCUUAAACACUUGAAUUCUCAUUUUGGUUUCUAAAUUGUAAGUUGGGACACUUUAGUUUCUAAACUUUUCUUGAUUUCCUUUUGGUCCCU
rnacentral:lncRNA from 1 species